GCUGCACCGUGUAGUCCCCUCUCCGAAAGAAAGUACGGUUCUUUCACCGUUCACAGACUUCUCGUAAACCUUAAUAUAAUUCGCGUUGUGCAUUACAGAAAUAUUGUUUUUGUGUUUGUGAAGUUGGCGUUUCAUCUUUGUGCUCUUCCUAGUAUCCUGUACAGGCCAAAGUGUCCAACUGUACAAGCGGAUCAUUUCGAGCAGUAACCAGGAAGAGCGUGUAUCAAUCCAUCGUUCCACAACUUCAUGCACCAAUAUGAGUGACUAUUCAGCGGUUGCUCCGCCUCAAACCUUUAAUCAAAGCACCGCAUUCGCGGCGGCACUUCAACGUGCCAAACAGAUUGCUGCGAAGAUAAAUCCUGCUGGUGCACAAAAUAAUCAAGACUCAAAAUUAAAACGUCCUCUUGAAGAUAGUUCAGAACCAGAAGCAAAGAAAAUGGCAGCGUUAGUGGCAGAUCCUUUAAUAGGUAUUCGUGGAGGACCCGGGGCUAAUAGUUCCAUUGGAGAUUCAGGUAGUCAAUCAUCCAGGCCACAAACAUCUUCUUCCAAUGUAGGUGGUAUAUGCAAUGAAGAUAUUAGAGUGCCAGAUAAAAUGGUUGGCUUAAUAAUUGGAAGAGGUGGCGAACAGAUUACAAGAUUGCAGAGUGAAACAGGAUGUAAAAUACAAAUGGCACCAGAAAGUGGUGGGCUGCCUGAACGCGUUUGUACACUAACUGGCUCACGAGAAGCUGUCAAUCGGGCGAAAGAAUUGGUUUUGUCAAUUGUGAAUCAAAGAAGCAGAAGCGAGGGAAUUGGUGAUAUGAAUAUGGGUGGAGGUGGUGGUGGAAUGAUGGGUCAUCCAGGGUUUGUUGAGAUAAUGAUACCAGGCCCUAAAGUCGGUCUGAUAAUUGGCAAAGGUGGUGAAACCAUAAAACAACUGCAAGAAAAGUCUGGUGCUAAAAUGGUUGUUAUACAAGAAGGCCCGUCUCAAGAACAGGAGAAACCAUUGAGAAUAACAGGAGAUCCUCAGAAAGUUGAACAUGCUAAACAAUUAGUGUAUGAAUUAAUAGCUGAAAAAGAAAUGCAAAUGUUUCAUAGAGGGGGAAGAGGUAGCGAGAGACCAGGGAACUAUACCAAUGAUAAUGGUUUUAACCAUGGCCCUGCAAAUAAUGAUGGAGUCGAGGUACUCGUUCCAAGAGCUGCGGUGGGAGUCGUUAUUGGUAAAGGUGGAGAUAUGAUAAAAAAGAUACAAGCGGAAAGCGGAGCCAAAGUUCAAUUCCAGCAAGGACGAGAAGACGGUCCUGGUGAUCGUAAAUGUCUGUUGUCUGGGAAACAUCAAGCUGUUGAACAGGCUCGUCAACGAAUUCAAGAGUUAAUCGAUAGCGUUAUGAGAAGAGAUGAUGGUAGAAAUAACAUGGGAGGCAGAGGUGGUCCAAGAGGUAACGGUUUUGGUGGUAGUCGUAAUCCAAAUGAGUAUGGAAGUUGGGAUAGACGACAAGGCGGUCCUAUGCAAGAUAAGAUCGAAACAACGUUCACCGUUCCAUCUUCCAAGUGUGGAAUUAUAAUCGGCAAAGGUGGUGAGACUAUUAAACAAAUAAAUCAGCAGACAGGAGCGCAUUGUGAAUUAGAUAGAAGAAAUCAAAGUAACGAAAAUGAAAAAAUUUUUAUUAUUCGGGGAAAUCCUGAGCAAGUUGAGCAUGCGAAGAGAAUAUUUAGCGAGAAGCUAGGCAUGGGUCCUGCUGGCUCCUCAUAUACCGGGGCACAAGGUGCAAUUGGAUACAAUCCAAAUUGGAACACAGGAACUGGAGGAUGUCAAGCAUGGCCAAGUCAACCACAAUCUAAUGAUGGAAGCAAUGCUAAUCAACCUCCUGUACAAGUCAAUCCACAAACUGGUCAACCAGAUUACAGUGCUCAGUGGGCAGAAUAUUAUCGAUCAUUGGGCUGGCAUAGAGAAGCAGAUAUGAUUGAACAACAAGCGAAACAAGGAAAACCAGAUCACAAUCAACAAGGAGGUAAUUCGCAAAAUCAAUCUAAUCCAGCACCAACAGGCACUGCUGGACCAAAUCAGCCGCAGCAGCAGCAGCAGCAGCAACAGCCACAAACUCAACAACAACAGCAGACAGGAGCUGCGCAAAAUGGAGGUCAAGCCGAUUAUAGUGUUCAAUGGGCGGAAUAUUACAGAAGCAUCGGAAAAAUAAAAGAAGCGGAAGCAAUCGAAGUUCAGAUGAAGGCGGGCAAGCUUGGGAUGCAAGGGAACCAAAUGGCUCAGCAGCAAAUGCAGACUCUACAAGGUCAAUCUGCUGGUCCACCGGGUACCACGCCUAAUGCUUUCCCUCAAGCCUAUGGAAAUUACCCGGCAAUGAAUGCGGGUUCUGCUCCAGCGGGCUAUUAUGCAGCGAACGCUGGAUCUAAUUCUCAACCACAGACAGGGCAACAGAAUCCGCCUUUCCCAACAGGCUAUCAGAAUUACCCUUACUCACAAUCGACUUCUGAAAAUUAAACUUCCAUGUGAGAGAAAAAUAAGCUGGUAUUGCAAUAAUUAUUUCAUAUGAGUUGUCUCCUGUGCCAGGGAAGAAGGAACGUCUCUAUUACCGCAGGGACAAGUGCAACAGAAAGCCUUCCAGUUUCUCUGAUCAAGAGAAGCAAAUAGCAAAUAUACCUAUGAAAAAGUUACACUUAUAGAUAACAUUUCUGUAAAGUAUUAUAGAUAGAGAUACGAUGGAUCAUUAAUAAUGCAAGAUUUGUAAAAUACGUAGAUAUUUGAAUUUUUUAUAAUAAAAAGGUAGUAAUGAAUAAAAACACAAGUACGGUAAUA